UACAGAGGGUGCAAGCGUUAAUCGGAAUUACUGGGCGUAAAGGGCGCGUAGGUGGUUAUUUAAGUUGGAUGUGAAAUCCCUGGGCUUAACCUAGGAACUGCAUACAAAACUGGGUAACUGGAGUGUGGUAGAGGGUAGUGGAAUUUCCGGUGUAGCGGUGAAAUGCGUAGAUAUCGGAAGGAACACCAGUGGCGAAGGCGGCUACCUGGACUAACACUGACACUGAGGCGCGAGAGCGUGGGGAGCAAAC
rnacentral:rRNA from 1 species